rnacentral:rRNA from 1 species
CAGUAGCCGCGGUAAUACGGAGGGUGCAAGCGUUAAUCGGAAUUACUGGGCGUAAAGCGCACGCAGGCGGUCUGACAAGUCAGAUGUGAAAUUCCCGGGCUUAACCUGGGAACUGCAUUUGAAACUGUCAGGCUGGAGUCUUGUAGAGGGGGGUGGAAUUCCAGGUGUAGCGGUGAAAUGCGUAGAGAUCUGGAGGAAUACCGGUGGCGAAGGCGGCCCCCUGGACAAAGACUGACGCUCAGGUGCGAAAGCGUGGGGAGCAAACAGGAUUAGAUACCCGCGUAGUCCCUGUCUCUUAUAC